AUUGAACGCUGGCGGCAUGCCUUACACAUGCAAGUCGAACGGCAGCACGGGUGCUGGCACCUGGUGGCGAGUGGCGAACGGGUGAGUAGUACAUCGGAACAUGUCCUGUAGUGGGGGAUAGCCCGGCGAAAGCCGGAUUAAUACCGCAUACGAUCUACGGAUGAAAGCGGGGGCCCUGCGGGCCUCGCGCUAUAGGGUUGGCCGAUGGCGGAUUAGCUAGUUGGUGGGGUAAAGGCCUACCAAGGCGACGAUCAGUAGCUGGUCUGAGAGGACGACCAGCCACACUGGGACUGAGACACGGCCCAGACUCCUACGGGAGGCAGCAGUGGGGAAUUUUGGACAAUGGGCGAAAGCCUGAUCCAGCAAUGCCGCGUGUGUGAAGAAGGCCUUCGGGUUGUAAAGCACUUUUGGCCGGAAAGAAAUCCUUGGCUCUAAUACCGUCGGGGGAUGACGGUACCGGAAGAAUAAGCACCGGCUAACUACGUG
rnacentral:rRNA from 1 species